CCGGCGCUUGCGUCCAAUGUAGCCAGGCUUUAGAGCACCGCCGCGUCGGCGCAGAAUAUAACAUUUUGGCGACGAGGAUGGGAUAUUUGUUUUAAUAUGUAGCAUUUCCUCUUUUGUAACCCGGGAUUCGGGAGGGGGCUUCACUCCGCGUCGCGGGUCAGUGGUUGAGGAAACCGGCGCGUAACUGUAUUCAUGAAAUGUGUUCCUUUUUGUUCCGGGUGAACGGUAGUCAUAUUUUGCGGAAAGGCCGCGUUUGAUGAGUUUCGGGGGGGAGGCAUUAGGCCUAGGUUUUCAGUACGUUCCAUUUUCAUCGUGAGAUGACUUCGUCAUCUUCGUCUUCGAGCGGCCCAACGGCGUUCCCGCCGCCGGCUGUCUUUUUGGCAGUGCCCGGUCCGCCGAUAGUAGCUUGGCCGGCAUGGAAGCGUGCUUUUCUGACUUUUCUUGACGCGUCGGCGUUGCAUCUCGUAGAACCGUUCCGAAAAAAAGCCAUCCUGUUUUCGCUGUUGGGCACUGAGGGCCAGCGCAUCGUGGAUGCAUUUCAGCUGUACGAGACGGUUGCGGUGGAGGGGACUGACGAGUUCCAGGUUUUUCUGGAGGCAGUCGAGAAGCAUUUUGAGUUUUCGGGUAGUAUCGCGCUUGAACGCCAGAAGCUGCGCGGUUUGUUCCAACGUCCUGGCCAGUCAGUAACUGAGUUUCUUGCCGUGUUGCGCCAUCAGGCUUCGUUUUGUGCUCUGGGGAACGCCCUCGAUGAAAGACUUUGCGAGGUUUUCUUGGAAGGCCUGGAGUCCAGACGCGUUCAGGAUCGCGUUCUGCAGGAGUGCGAGGGCAGCGAGCUGCCAACGCUGUCGCGGGCUAUCCAGAUCGCUCGCCAGUACGAGCAGAGAGCGAAGACGGCCGCAAGUUUUCGGCGGCGAGAGUCGCAAGUCCCGGUCGCGGCAGAAGUCCAGCGUGUCCAGAUCGAGAAACGUCAAACGGCAGCAACACAAGAUGGCGGCCAAGCGUCGUCUUCUUUCAUCGAGCAUGGGCAAGAUGGCUACAGCGGCUACCCUCCCUGGCCUCAACCUGGCUACCCCCCGUCGCAGCUUGGACCCAGGAUGCCUUGGGCUCCGGUGGCCUCCGGUCACGUGCCCCGUUUUCCGGCGAGGGUGUUCCAGCCUCAGCGUGGGCGUGAGCCCGCUCCGCCUCGGACGGGUGGGAUCGGAGCAGACGACGCCUGCUACUUCUGUGGACGCCGCCGUCAUGAUCGGGCGGUUUGCCCGGCGUCUCAAGCGACAUGCUUCUUAUGUGGAAAGUGGGGACACUUUGCAGUGGCGUGUCAGAGUCGUCGCCCGCCGGCGGCUGCCUUCACCUACGAUCGGCGACAGGCAUCGUUCCCGGUUCAAGGCCGUGGUACUCGGCGGACCUUCGCCGACAGACAGUUCAGAGGGGACCGGCCCGGCCGGGUUAACGUGGUCGGCCAGUCGCUGUCUCCUGAGGAGCUGCCAAGCGUUAGGCUGACGGAGGAACCUGUGGUCGUCGGGACGGCCGAGCGACGAGAAGGCGGCAGCAUGCGUCGUGACGCCUUCAUGGCCGAGAUCACGAGAGGAGCGUUCCGUGGCUCUUGGAGAGUGCCUGUCCCAUCAGAGGGGGUGGCCAGCAGCCGCUGCAUUGCCAACCGUGAAGCGUCUGGUGUCCUCGGGCUGAAGGUCAGUCGUCCUACCGUCAGGGGGGUCGCCGUAACGUGCCGGGAGGAGAGCAGUUGCCGACGUUGUCGUCAGCGUCUGCUUGGCCCGGGCUCUCAGUGGCCACCCAGACCUCCUGGGAAGACACCGAUCAUCCACGAUUUUACGCAUGGUAGGGCCUUGGGAGGACCAGUGUUGACAGAGUUCCCCAGCCUUUCCACGGCUGCAUUGUGUAGAUGGAAGUGCCUGCCAGCAGCGCCCACUGUCCACCUCAACUGGGGAAGUGUUUUGCUUUCCUGCUGGGGCCCGAAAACAAGCGGCAAGAAGCACGACGAUUCCCGUAUCACCGGGCCAGGGAUGAGGCCGACAGCGUCGCCGAACCCAGGCACGUUGACGACCCGGCAGAGCAUCCUGACGCCAUCCGGUGUUUUGGCGCUCGAAUGGCCCGGGGAACAGUCUUCGGCACCGCUGCACCGGGUGCGGACCGCCUACGAGGGUCGGAGAUGCUGGAAUCUAUGCCACCGAGUUUACCCACGCUGCCCUCCAAUGACCAGGUUGGGUCCUGUGGGAUCCAAGACCUGAUCAACGUGGAGUUGGACUUGUGAAACAUAGGCUACCAGGGAGGGACAACUUCGGGCCCCUUUCGGCUCUGGACUCAUCCACCGGUGGAAGGUCUUCGGACUGUGGUGGCUCCACAAGGGUCUCGGUGGUACUUGGAAGAAGCAGAUGCUUGUGGUGACUGCAGAUACGUUGUGGAAUGAGCCGUAAAGUCUAAAUGUCUUCGCACAGCCUUCCCAGUUGCGGUCUCAACUGCUAUCUGUGCAACCCGCAGAAGGCAGCUGUGAAAGCAGGUCUUUGGAAAGCUGUUCCUGUUAACAAAUCAUCCCACAAGUUGAGCGAAACCAUACAGUACGACACCAUCGCCCGAGAUGUUGGGCACAGCAGGUUACUCAGUCAGCGUGUCUACCAAAUUACUUGUCUCAAGUUCCCCAACAUAUCUAGCCUCAACCUUGCUAUCUCAAUAAA
rnacentral:misc_RNA from 1 species